GGGCUAGGGCGCAGCUACACAUGCAGUCGGGCGGUAACAGGGAGAAGCUUGCUUCUCCGCUGACGAGCGGCGGACGGGUGAGUAAUGUAUGGGGAUCUGCCUGAUGGAGGGGGAUAACUACUGGAAACGGUAGCUAAUACCGCAUAAUGUCUUCGGACCAAAGCGGGGGACCUUCGGGCCUCGCGCCAUCAGAUGAACCCAUAUGGGAUUAGCUUGUAGGUGAGGUAACGGCUCACCUAGGCGACGAUCCCUAGCUGGUCUGAGAGGAUGAUCAGCCACACUGGGACUGAGACACGGCCCAGACUCCUACGGGAGGCAGCAGUGGGGAAUAUUGCACAAUGGGCGCAAGCCUGAUGCAGCCAUGCCGCGUGUAUGAAGAAGGCCUUCGGGUUGUAAAGUACUUUCAGUCGGGAGGAAGGUGUUAAGGUUAAUAACCUUGGCAAUUGACGUUACCGACAGAAGAAGCACCGGCUAACUCUGUGCAGCAGCCGCCA
rnacentral:rRNA from 1 species